rnacentral:tRNA from 1 species
GCCUUGCUGAUCCAGUCAGUAGAGGAUGUGACUCUUAAUCUCAUGGUUGUGAGUUCAAGUCCCAUGUUGGGCA